rnacentral:tRNA from 1 species
AAAUCAUAAACCUUAAUUAAAAUUUAAUUUUAAUUUAUCCUUA